rnacentral:rRNA from 1 species
AGUGAACGCUGGCGGCAUGCCUAACACAUGCAAGUCGAACGGAAACACGAUGAGAGUUUGCUCCUACGGGUGGCGGGGGGCGGAUGGGUAAGGAAUGCAUCACCUUCUUAUAUUUCGGGGAUGACAACGGAAGGAAAGAUCUGAUACUAGCUAAUAUGUUCAACGGGUGAGUGCAAGGGAUCAUGCGACUUUUGCUGUCUCUAUUAGAUGAUGUCGGAUUAGAUAGUUGGGUUGGUAAAGGCUCACCAAGGCAACGAUCCGUAGCUGGUCUGAGAGGAUGAUCAGCCACACUGGAACUGAGACACGGUCCAGACUCCUACGGGAGGCAGCAGUGGGGAAUAUUGGACAAUGGGCGCAAGCCUGAUCCAGCAAUGCCGCGUGAGUGAAGAAGGCCUUCGGGUUGUAAAACUCUUUUGUUAGGAAAGAAAAGCUGCGGGUUAAUACCCGGACGUAUUGACGGUACCUAAAGAAUAAGCACCGGCUAACUACGUG